rnacentral:rRNA from 1 species
GUGGGGAAUCUUCCACAAUGGACGAAAGUCUGAUGGAGCAACGCCGCGUGAGUGAAGAAGGGUUUCGGCUCGUAAAGCUCUGUUGUCGGGGACGAAUGUGCAGUAUUUGAAUAAAGUACUGCAAUGACGGUACCUGACGAGGAAGCCACGGCUAACUACGUGCCAGCAGCCGCGGUAAUACGUAGGUGGCAAGCGUUGUCCGGAAUUAUUGGGCGUAAAGGGAGCGCAGGCGGGAAGGUAAGUCGGUCUUAAAAGUGCGGGGCUCAACCCCGUGAUGGGAUCGAAACUAUCUUUCUUGAGUGCAGGAGAGGAAAGUGGAAUUCCUAGUGUAGCGGUGAAAUGCGUAGAUAUUAGGAGGAACACCAGUGGCGAAGGCGACUUUCUGGACUGUAACUGACACUGAGGCACGAAAGCGUGGGGAGCAAACAGGAUUAGAUACCCGGGUAGUCC